UGGCAGCUUACCAUGCAAGUCGAGCGGAAACGAUGAUAGCUUGCUAUCAGGCGUCGAGCGGCGGACGGGUGAGUAAUACUUAGGAAUCUACCUAGUAGUGGGGGAUAGCUCGGGGAAACUCGAAUUAAUACCGCAUACGACCUACGGGAGAAAGGGGGCAACUUGUUGCUCUCGCUAUUAGAUGAGCCUAAGUCGGAUUAGCUAGAUGGUGGGGUAAAGGCCUACCAUGGCGACGAUCUGUAGCUGGUCUGAGAGGAUGAUCAGCCACACCGGGACUGAGACACGGCCCGGACUCCUACGGGAGGCAGCAGUGGGGAAUAUUGGACAAUGGGGGCAACCCUGAUCCAGCCAUGCCGCGUGUGUGAAGAAGGCCUUUUGGUUGUAAAGCACUUUAAGCAGUGAAGAAGACUCCAUGGUUAAUACCCAUGGACGAUGACAUUAGCUGCAGAAUAAGCACCGGCUAACUCUGUGCCAGCAGCCGCGGUAAUACAGAGGGUGCAAGCGUUAAUCGGAAUUACUGGGCGUAAAGCGAGCGUAGGUGGCUUGAUAAGUCAGAUGUGAAAUCCCCGGGCUUAACCUGGGAACUGCAUCUGAUACUGUUAGGCUAGAAUAGGUGAGAGGAAGGUAGAAUUCCAGGUGUAGCGGUGAAAUGCGUAGAGAUCUGGAGGAAUACCGAUGGCGAAGGCAGCCUUCUGGCAUCAUAUUGACACUGAGGUUCGAAAGCGUGGGUAGCAAACAGGAUUAGAUACCCUGGUAGUCCACGCCGUAAACGAUGUCUACUAGUCGUUGGGUCCCUUGAGGACUUAGUGACGCAGCUAACGCAAUAAGUAGACC
rnacentral:rRNA from 1 species